CUCGUAAGAGCAAAGCAGGGGGACCUUCGGGCCUUGCGCUACCGGAUAUGCCCAGGUGGGAUUAGCUAGUUGGUGAGGUAAGGGCUCACCAAGGCGACGAUCCCUAGCUGGUCUGAGAAGAUGAUCAGCCACACUGGAACUGAGACACGGUCCAGACUCCUACGGGAGGCAGCAGUGGGGAAUAUUGCACAAUGGGCGCAAGCCUGAUGCAGCCAUGCCGCGUGUAUGAAGAAGGCCUUCGG
rnacentral:rRNA from 1 species